CAGCAGCCGCGGUAAAACGUAGGUGGCAAGCGUUGUCCGGAAUUAUUGGGCGUAAAGGGCUCGCAGGCGGUUUCUUAAGUCUGAUGUGAGAGCCCCCGGCUCAACCGGGGAGGGUCAUUGGAAACUGGGAAACUUGAGUGCAGAAGAGGAGAGUGGAAUUCCACGUGUAGCGGUGAAAUGCGUAGAGAUGUGGAGGAACACCAGUGGCGAAGGCGACUCUCUGGUCUGUAACUGACGCUGAGGAGCGAAAGCGUGGGGAGCGAACAGGAUUAGAUACCCCAGUAGUCCCUGUCUCUUAUAA
rnacentral:rRNA from 1 species